AGCAGCCGCGGUAAUUCCAGCUCCAAUAGCGUAUAUUAAAGUUGUUGCAGUUAAAAAGCUCGUAGUUGAAUUUCGGGAUCAAUAUGUUGGUCGUGCCUUGGUACGUACUGGCAUUAUCGAUUCCUACCUUCUGAAGAACCUCGAUGUCAUUAAUUUGGUGUCUUGGGGAAUCAGGACUGUUACUUUGAAAAAAUUAGAGUGUUUAAAGCAGGCUCGCGCUUGAAUACAUUAGCAUGGAAUAAUGAAAUAGGACGUUUGAUUCUAUUUUGUUGGUUUCUAGGAUCGACGUAAUGAUUAAUAGGGAUAGUUGGGGGCAUUAGUAUUCAAUUGUCAGAGGUGAAAUUCUUGGAUUUAUUGAAGACUAACUACUGCGAAAGCAUUUGCCAAGGAUGUUUUCAUUAAUCAAGAACGAAAGUUAGGGGAUCGAAGACGAUCAGAUACCGUCGUAGUCUUAACCAUAAACUAUGCCGACUAGGGAUCGGAUGAUGUUAAUUUUUAAUGACUCAUUCGGCGUCCG
rnacentral:rRNA from 1 species